rnacentral:piRNA from 1 species
UAGGUAACAGGUUCAUUCUCCCUGG